GUUACUGUUGGUUGGCCUGGCUUUUUAUUUCAUCAAAAGACAUCCCCAAAAUUACACCAACAUAGAAAUGAAUGACUGUGGGCAGAUGGCAGCAGACUUCUAAUGAUCCCGGACACAGCUGGGUCUGACAGCCCUGAGGCCAGGGAUGUGUCUCAGGAGGGCAGAGGGGGUGUCCAGCUCCCCCAGGCACUGGGGCUGCUGCACAGACCUGCCAAAUGCCAGGUGCACACCUACCUCUACAUCUGUGCACGUGUCUACAGCUCUGUGUGUCUGUGUACAAACACACGAACUGGGUUUUACCCUUCUUAAUUUUUACCUUGGACUCAAGACCUCAGAACAGGCUGGGGACUCCUCGUAGGCACAGGCAGAAGCCUGCUUGGCUAAUACAGAGGAAGGACAUGCUCUGCGUCCUCUCGGGAUUCACUGCUGGGUGAUGAGCCAAGGCCACCCCCAUCAGACCUUUCCUCCCAGCAGGCAAGGCCAGUCUCUGGUCCUUCUGGACUACACUGCUCAGUGAGGGUGUAGGGUAUGCCCAGCCUCUGCCCUGGAGGGAGGCCUGCUGAAAUAGGGAGAUUGCACAACCUCCCAGCAGAAUCCCCCUGGAAGAGGCAGCCACCUUGCAGUUACAGUGGGAGAGGACACAGACCCCUGAUCCUCUUGGAGACCCUAUGCAGAUCCUUUGUAACCCAUUGGCUUUUCCCCUCUCACACCCACCCCUGUACCCCUAUAAGAUCUAGCUCUCUGCCCCUGUGGGAUCAGAGAACUCAUCCCUGGCCUCCCCUUCGUGGGGUGUGGGCUAAUAAAGCUGCCCCAUGCAGAACUGCU